CUUUGGAGGUUUGACAGAAGAGAGUGAGCACACGCGGUGGUUUCCUAGCAUGCAGGAGCCAUGCUGGGAGCUGCGCGUGCUCACCCUCUCUCUGUCAGCCGUUCACCAUGC
rnacentral:pre_miRNA from 1 species